GCCUCCGUGGCGCAAUCGGCUAGCGCGUUCGGCUGUUAACCGAAAGGUUGGUGGUUCGAGCCCACCGGGGGCG
rnacentral:tRNA from 2 species